UACACGUGUGCGGUGGAGAGGAGAAUUAGGGUUACAAGAUGAAAAGAGGAAUACGAAAGAUAGAGGGGAAGAAUCACUUUACCUUUUCUUUCUUUACUUCUUCUUUGUUCUCUCUGUGUUGCAAAAUAACCCUAAUGUGGUUUUUCCUUUCCUUUAUGGUUUGAUUUCAGUAUAUAGAACUCAUUGUAAUGAGAAGAUUAAGGAGGAGAAGAAGGAUGCUGCAAGUAUUUAUGUGGUUCGGCCAAGAUUACGGCCUACGUCCAGGAGAAGGAUCUUUCUUUAUAUUGAUGAAGAUAAGCAUACAUAUUUCACUCUCUUUUUAUUUUUUUUCUUUUGCUUUCUAUUUCACUUACUUGAUAGAAUGUAACAAUACAUAUUUAUAGGUGGUUACACAACAGAAGUAGUUAGAAAGGAGAAAAAUAGAAAAAGAAAAAAAAAAGGCUUGUGAAUUUUUGUUAGGAUUCAUUUUGUUUUACAAUCUCCACCUUGAAUCCAACUAGAAAAUUAUUUUAAAUCCUUUCAUUUAAUUCCUUUCCAACUGAUCUAUCCUUUUUAAGGUAGGUCGAAACCUAUAAGCUCAAAGUAUUUCUGCAACUUCAGGGAUGAGACCGGCUUAGUAAGUAUAUCAGCGGCAUUCUCAGAGGUAUGAACUUUCAGCAUUUGAAUUUCCCCAGCUUCAAUUUUUUCCCGUAUGAAGUGAUAUUUUAUGUCAAUUUGCUUUGUUCGCUGUGGUAUUGAGGAUUCUUGGAUAGGUGAAUGACACUUUGGUUGUCACAGAAGAUUUUAACAAUCGACUGUUUGAUUCCAAAGUCUUUCAUCAGUCCUUUAAGCCACAAUCCUUCUUUUACUGCCUCUGUUAACACUAAGUAUUCUGCUUCUGUAGUUGAGAGAGCAACAAUAGAUUGUAGGGUUGCUUUCCAGCUAAUUAGAUUAGGUCCAUAGAGAAAUGCAUAUCCGGUUAGGCUUCUUCUUUUGUCACCGUCACCUGCAAAAUCUGAAUCCACAUAGCCUAUCAAUUCUAAUUCUGUCUCAGAGGUCCUUUGGUAAUUUAGUUUAGCAUAUUUAGACCAGAUUAGGUAUCUCAUUAUCCACUUAGUGGCUUCCCAAUGUCUUCUUCCAGGAUUGGCCAUAUACCUACUGACAAGGCUAGUUGAAUAGGAUAGGUCAGGUCUGGUUGAAAUCAUAAGGUACAUUAAACUUCCCACUGCUUGACUGUAUGGAACAUUUUUCAUUUGUAGUUGGUGAUCUGUAUCUGUGUCGCUAGGGGAAUUUGUAGCUGAUAACUUAAAGUGAUGUGCUAUAGGGAGUGUCACGGGUCUAGCAUUAGUGAGAUUGAAUCUUCUAAUCAUUUUCUCACAGUAGGUUGAUUGGUUUAUGCUUAGUGUAGACUUGUCUCUGACUCUUGUGAUGUCAAUUCCAAGAAUCUUCCUCGAUUCCCCUAGGUAUUUCAUGUCAAAUUCUUUUCCCAAAAGAUUUUUGACAUGAAUCAACUCUUCUUUAGAACUUCCUGCAAGAAGCAUAUCAUCCACAUAGAGUAACAAGUAGACAUUGUCUUUAUAGGUUGUUGAGUUUAUGUAAACGCACAUAUCAUAAGAGCUUCUUUGAAAACCUAAACUAGCAAUAAAAUCAUCAAAUAUUUUAUACCAACAUCUAGGAGAUUGUUUCAACCCAUAUAUAGACUUCUUUAGUAAGCAGUAGAGGUCUUCCUUACCUUGAACCUCAUAACCCUUAGGUUGAACCAUAUAGAUUGUCUCUUCUAGAUAGCCAUGGAGAAAAGCUUUUUUUACAUCAAGUUGAUCCAAUUCUAGGUUGUUUUGAGCAACUAGAGAUAAGAGAAGUCUAAUAGAGGUUUGUUUAACUACAGGGGAGAAAAUUUCAGAAUAGUCUAUACCUUCUCUUUGUGUGAAACCCUUUGCUACCAGCCUUGCCUUGUACCUUAGUUGUGAGUUUUUAGUAAUUCCUUCUUUGAGUUUGAAAAUCCACUUAGAUGCUAUUGGUUUGCAUCCUUUAGGUAGAGAAGCUAGUGUCCAAGUAUCAUUCACAUUUAGUGAAUUUAUUUCUUCAUUCAUAGCUUCAAUCCACUGUCUUGCAUUGCUACUGUUCACAACUUCCUCAAAGGAACUUGGUUCUGAAUCAUUAGGAACUACAGUAGCAUUUAAAACAAAACUUAUGUAAUUAGAUUAAAUAUACCUGGCUAGAGGGACAAUUACCCUUCUUUGUCUGUCUCUUGCUAGGGAAUAUUGGCUCAAGUUAGGUUGUUCUUCAAGCAUUUCAACUUGUUCUUCACUUAAGAUCUCCACUUGUUCUUGUUCAGUAGCUGUAGGAUCCUCACAAGGUUGAACACUUUUUCUUGUAUUCUCCACCUCAAUUUGAGUAGUAUAGGAUUGUGUGUCAUCAAAGUUCCCUUCAGUGCUGCUUUUACCUUGCAUAAACAUUUAUGAUUCUCUAAAAAGAACAUCCCUACUGAUUAUAAACCUCUUGUUAGUUGGAUGCCACAACUUGAAACCCUUUAUUCCUUCUGUGAAACCAACAAACAUACACUUAGCAGCCCUGACCUUUAGUUUUCCUUUAUUUUGGUGAGCAUACCCUACACAUCCAAACACCUUAAGGUCAUUUAGACUUGGUGGGUGUUUGGACCAUUUCUCCUCAGGUGUUAGGAAUCCCAAGGAGGUGUGAGGACUUCUAUUCAAUGUGUACACAACGUAGGCAGCAGCCUCAGCCCAAAACGUUUCUUCUAGAAUGGCAUAUGAUAAUAGGCAUCUUACCAUUUCCAUUAUAGUUCUGUUGAGUCUUUCUGCCACUCCAUUUUGUUGAGGUGUGUAUGUCACAGUUUUGUGCCUUGUGAUUCCACUUUCCCUGCAAAAACUAUUAAACACUUCUCCACAAAACUCUAAACCAUUGUUAGUUCUAAGAUAUUUAACCUUUUUAUCAGUUUGUUUUUCUAUCAUUAGUUUCCAUUCUUUAAAAUUUUCAAAAACUUGAUUUUUAGUUUUUAAGAAAUAAAUCCAACUUAUUCUAGAAAAAUCAUCAGUAAAUGAUAGAAAAUACCUUGAGCUACUUAGGCUUGGAGUGGAUGCUGAACUCAUAGAUCCGAAUGGAUGUAGUCUAGGAUUCCUUUUGUUGUGUGUUGUGCUUUGGUGAAGUUUUGUUUUCUUGCUUUGCCUAGUACACAGUGUUCACAAAAGGACAGUUUGCUGCAUAUGUCUUGAGGCAGAAUGUCCUGUUUAGAUAGUGCCUCAAGACCCUUCUGACUAAUAUGGGACAAUCUUUUAUGCCAAAUAUCAGCUUCUGUUAGGUUUAGAGAUAAAACUGUAUUUGCCUCCUCUAUCAUUUCUACUCAUUUUACUAUGAACAAAUCAUUUACCUUUUCCCCAACCAAGACUAACUUAGAUCCCAUAAAGACUUGGAAAACUCCACAUUUUCCUUUAUAUUCACACCCUAGAGAGUCUAACAUUCCUAGGGAGAUUAAAUUUCUUUUAAGGUGAGGAACAUGUCUUACAUUUCUAAGGAGUUUUACAGUCCCAUCUUUUAGUUUCAUGGUAACUGAUCCAAUUCCAGCAAUGUUACUUUCAUUAUUAUUCCCCACGAACACAGAUUCUCCACUAAUCUCUCUAUAGGUAUUGAACCAUGCUCUAAAAGGUGUCAUAUGGUAAGUGCAUCAUGAGUCUAGGACCCAAUCAUGUUUUCCUAAGGGGUUGACAUGGUUGGCUUGGUCUAAGGUUGAUGCCAAGGCAUCUGUGUAGGUAAAAGAGCUUUCUACUAUAGAGGCUUCUGGUUGUUUCCCUUUAGAAUCUUUUUCUUUUUCUUGAUUCUUUCUUUUAAGGAAAAAAACAUUCUUGUAUGAAGUGUCCCUUCUUUUUACAGUAUUUACAUUUCUUUUUCUGUUUUCCUUUCUUGUCUUCAUUAGAAAAAGAUUUGUUACUGUUUUACUUUGAUUGUUUUGGGAUUUACCUUUGACAAACAAUCCAUCGCCACUAUGAUUUUCUUUGUGUGAUGAAUGUAUUUCUAAUUCUCUAGUUCUUAGAGCUGAUAUUAUGACAUCUGUUUUUACUGAGUCUCUUCCAUAUUUUAGAACAUUUUUUACUUCUUUGUAUGCCUUGGGUAAAGAAUUUAAAAGGACGAAUGCCUCAUUUUCAUCACCUAGUUUGUCCUCAAGGGUUUUAAAAUCUGAAACUAUUUUCUGAAUUCAUCUAAGUUUUCAGAUAAGGUUUUAGAAGGAUCCAUUUUAUAUGUGAAAUUUUUUUCCCUUAGGUACAUUUUGUUUGGGAGAUCUUUAGAGGCAUAUAGGUUUUCUAGUUUCAUCCAAACUUUAUGUGUUGUUUCUUCUUCUAGAACUUGCCUAAUUAUGUUGUCACUAAGGUUUAGUAUUAGUGUUCCAUAGGCAUUUAAUUCCAUUUCUUCUAUUUGUACUGUUGUGAGGGUUGUUGGAAGUUAUGAAGGAUCUAAAAGGGCUUUAUGAGCCUUUUGUUGUCCAAGCAAGGCUUUGAUCUUUGCUUUCCAUAAAGCAAAGUCUCCCUUUUGCAUCAAACUUCUCUAUUUCUACUCUUGUUAUAGCCAUUUUUCUAGGUCCGUCUUUCUCUAUUUUCUCCAAGAAUCAGUUUCUUGAUUUCAAGAACCUUGCUCUGAUACUAAUUGUUGGGCCUAAGUUUGUUUUGGGCCUCUGUUUAGUGCAGGGAUAAAGAUUACAAGGAGGAGAGAAAGCCACGGUUGAAGACUUGCAGACGUACACGUGUGCGGUGGAGAGGAGAAUUAGGGUUACAAGAUGAAAAGAGGAAUACGAAAGACAGAGGAGAAGAAUCACUUUACCUUUUCUUUCUUUACUUCUUCUUUGUUCUCUCUGUGUUGCAAAAUAACCCUAAUGUGGUUUUUCCUUUCCUUUAUAGUUUGAUUUCAGUAUAUAGAACUCAUUGUAAUGAGAAGAUUAAGGAGAAGAAGAAGGAUGUUGCAAGUAUUUA
rnacentral:lncRNA from 1 species